CACUCCAGUGGCUUAAGUGAUUACAGCAUCUGCUUCCGAUGCAGGAGGUCACGGGUUCAAACCCCAUUUGAGUCA